CAUAGGAAUAAAAGACAACUGAAAUUUGGAAAAGUGGAACCUAUAAAACGAUGGAUGAAGCAGAAUUUGUCGAGGAGCAGAAUUUCUUCAUCCAUCGUCUUCUAUUUAUAGGUUUUCUCGCGGAGCAGAAAUUUGUUUAUUGCGUUGAUUGUUUUGGUAAUCCGUGCUUCUUCAAAAAGGCACCAAAGAAGGAGAAAGCUCCACGACCAUCUUCAAAGCCAGCUAAAUCUGGUAGUGGAUUUCAGUUGGUUAGGUGGCUGCGAGAUCGGAAUGGGGAUGUAGUUGGAGAAGAGUUGGUGUUAACGUUAAGCUUUUGCCACAAUCUAAUGGAAGCCUUUAAUGUAGUUUUGUGUGUGAGAUGCGGCUAAGGCAUUCAAAGCUUAUGUCAACUUCAGCACAACUAGGCAAACAAGGAAAAACAGUGCCUGGAAACUAAUGAUGGAGGAUAUGUGGAUGAGUGCUAACGGUAAAGCUAUUGCUGUUUUCAUGAUUGUAGAUGGAAAAGUUUCAUUAGUAACCGGGAAUACCUCGGUUGUGGAUGAAGGAAAGGACCAUUCACCCCCUCCGAAGGAAAAAUCCACUGGUGAUGGAUGUGAGUUCAUCUAUAAAAGCGUUUCACUUAUAGAUUUUGCACAAGUGCAUUCCUACAAUGCAAAGGAAAAUUACUCCAAACAGUAAGCCAGUACAACCUCAUCAGGAUCAGGUCUUCACAACCGAGAAGAAUGAACCCAAAGUGGAAAGAAAAGAAACUGAGACCAGAAUGAUGACUGAAACCCAAGUUAUGGAACUAAGUUGUGAGACAAAAAAAAUCCAUCUCAGAAAAUAUUUUGAGACAAAAAAAGGGGAUUUCCGGACAAAC